rnacentral:rRNA from 1 species
GACGAGCGCUGGCGGCGUGCCUAAUACAUGCAAGUAGAACGCUGAAGAGAGGAGCUUACUCUUCUUGGAUGAGUUGCGAACGGGUGAGUAACGCGUAGGUAACCUGCCUUGUAGCGGGGGAUAACUAUUGGAAACGAUAGCUAAUACCGCAUAACAAUGGAUGACACAUGUCAUUUAUUUGAAAGGGGCAAUUGCUCCACUACAAGAUGGACCUGCGUUGUAUUAGCUAGUAGGUGAGGUAAUGGCUCACCUAGGCGACGAUACAUAGCCGACCUGAGAGGGUGAUCGGCCACACUGGGACUGAGACACGGCCCAGACUCCUACGGGAGGCAGCAGUAGGGAAUCUUCGGCAAUGGGGGCAACCCUGACCGAGCAACGCCGCGUGAGUGAAGAAGGUUUUCGGAUCGUAAAGCUCUGUUGUAAGUCAAGAACGGGUGUGAGAGUGGAAAGUUCACACUGUGACGGUAGCUUACCAGAAAGGGACGGCUAACUACGUG